GGAAUAUUGGUCAAUGGACGGAAGUCUGAACCAGCCAUGCCGCGUGUAGGAUGACGGCCUUCUGGGUUGUAAACUACUUUUCUACAGGAAGAAAAAGGCUAUGCGUAGCCAAUUGACGGUACUGUAGGAAUAAGCACCGGCUAACUCCGUUCCAGCAGCCGCGGUAAUACGGAGGGUGCGAGCGUUGUCCGGAUUUAUUGGGUUUAAAGGGUGCGUAGGUGGCUAAUUAAGUCAGUGGUGAAAGCCCAUCGCUUAACGAUGGAACUGCCAUUGAUACUGGUUAGCUUGAGUAUCGUUGAAGUAGGCGGAAUUUAUGGUGUAGCGGUGAAAUGCAUAGAUACCAUAAAGAACACCGAUAGCGUAGGCAGCUUACUAAGCGAUAACUGACACUGAGGCACGAAAGCAUGGGGAGCG
rnacentral:rRNA from 1 species